rnacentral:rRNA from 1 species
CUAGCCGUAAAUGAUGGAUACUAGGUGUGGGUGUCGCAGGGCAUCCGUGCCGCAGUUAACGCGUUAAGUAUCCCGCCUGGGGACUACGGUCGCAAGACUGAAACUCAAAGGAAUUGACGGGGGCCCGCACAAGCGGUGGAGCACGUGGUUUAAUUCGAUGCAAACCGAAGAACCUUACCUAGGCUUGACAUGCAAGUGGUACUGAAGCGAAAGUGGAAAGACCCUAGCUUGCUAGGGAGCUUGCACAGGUGC